UGGGGAAUUUUGGACAAUGGGCGAAAGCCUGAUCCAGCAAUGCCGCGUGUGUGAAGAAGGCCUUCGGGUUGUAAAGCACUUUUGUCCGGAAAGAAAUGGCUCUGGUUAAUACCUGGGGUCGAUGCCGGUACCGGAAGAAUAAGGACCGGCUAACUACGUGCCAGCAGCCGCGGUAAUACGUAGGGUCCAAGCGUUAAUCGGAAUUACUGGGCGUAAAGCGUGCGCAGGCGGUUGUGCAAGACCGAUGUGAAAUCCCCGAGCUUAACUUGGGAAUUGCAUUGGUGACUGCACGGCUAGAGUGUGUCAGAGGGGGGUAGAAUUCCACGUGUAGCAGUGAAAUGCGUAGAGAUGUGGAGGAAUACCGAUGGCGAAGGCAGCCCCCUGGGAUAACACUGACGCUCAUGCACGAAAGCGUGGGGAGCAAACAGG
rnacentral:rRNA from 1 species